UAAACUCAAACUGCAGUAUAGGAAGCACU
rnacentral:piRNA from 1 species